CCUACGGGUUGCUGCAGUGGGGAAUAUUGGGCAAUGGCCGCAAGCCUGACCCAGCAACGCCGCGUGAAGGAAGAAGGCUUUCUGGUUUUAAACUUCUUUUCUCAGGGACGAAGAACGUGACGGUACCUGAUGUAUAAGCCACCGCUAACUACGUGCCAGCAGACGCGGGAAUCCGUAGGUGGCAAUCGUUAUCCGGAUUUACUGGGUGUAAAGGGCGUGUAGGCGGGGAAGCAAGUCAGAGGUGAAAACCAUGGACUCAAACUGUGGCCUGCAUUUGAAACUGUUGAUCUUGAGUACGGGAGAGGCAGACGGAAUGCGUGGUGUAGCGGUGAAAUGCGUAGAUAUUAGGAGGAACACCAGUGGCGAAGGCGGUAUACUGGAGAGCAACUGACGCUGAGGCGCGAAAGCGUGGGGAGCAAACAGGAUUAGAUACCCGGGUAGUC
rnacentral:rRNA from 1 species